rnacentral:rRNA from 1 species
UACGUAGGCAGCAAGCGUUGUUCGGAGUUACUGGGCGUAAAGGGUGCGUAGGCGGCUUCUUAAGUCUGGUGUGAAAUCUCCCGGCUCAACUGGGAGGGUGCGCCGGAUACUGAGGGGCUAGAGUGUGGGAGAGGAAAGUGGAAUUCCUGGUGUAGCGGUGAAAUGCGUAGAUAUCAGGAGGAACACCUGUGGCGAAAGCGGCUCACUGGACCAUAACUGACGCUGAUGCACGAAAGCUAGGGGAGCAAACAGG